rnacentral:lncRNA from 1 species
GUGGUUACACGAGGGGCCCGCUGACGCAGCUCACACCGUACGGACGCCCUGAUCCAGACCUCCGAGGGCGACGCAGCCACACCACCACAGUGACUCUGUGACUCCGGCGUUCAACAGGCCGCGCGCUCAUGCCUUGCCGUCGCAGUUUGAUACCUGAAUGUUGAGGUUCGGGAUUACCGUACGCUGCACAGUAUUGGGACCACGCCACCCGGCCCCUUACCCUAUCCCGUCGCACCCGCAAAAGCACAGACCCAUGGGCCAUGUCCACUCCAGCCGCCCAAUGGACCACUCUGGCGUACUACCAGCGCUCAUGCCAGCUUAUGCCUUGGCGUGGAGUGUUCGGGUCUGGCAAUACGUUGGCUGUGGAGUGUUGGGGUCUGGCAAUACGUUGGCUGUGGAGUGUUCGGGUCUGGCAAUACGAGUGCCCCAACCAACGUUUCCGCGGGGCGGAAUGUAGGCCAAAACUCCGACCAAAACUCCGACCAAAACUCCAGCCAACACUCCGGCCAGUGAGCCGUCCAAAGCUGGCCAAACUGGCAGCUCUCGCUAAGGCGCGAGCGCGCCCAGCUUUCUUUCCUUCGCUUUACGGAGCUUCCUUACUCUCCUCAAGCUCCAACGCCGCUCAUGACCCGUCAUAUUUAUCGCCUCAGCCCCGGCAACGCGGCGCCAUCCGGCCAUCGGCGGUAGAGGGCUUGGCUUCGCAGCUUCGCAAGGACCUGCCGCAGCGCUCAAGCAGAUGCGCAGUGGGCAGGGCAGGAGCAGUGCGACUGAUUUGCGCGGGCGUGGGUGGCAGCGCGGGUGUCUGGAGGGCCUUUGAUUGCCCACUCGGUGCGCCCCCACCCGCUCCGCACCCGCGCACGCCUCACCAGGACAGCCGCGGGCGAUGGGUGACAAGUGUCAGCUUUGUACAGCUGGAAAAUAGGCUGAGCCCCCGUACGCUUGGGAGCUAAUAGGCGUGUAACGUUCCGUCAGAGCCUCCAUGCCGCUACGACGCGCAGGCGCAUCGGCUAGGGACACUCGGG